AACAGGCAAGGCGAUACUCUGUGGCAGUUACAGAUUCAUACAUGUGUAGCAAAAGUAUUUUUUUGUAAACAUGAAAAACCACGACCACCUCCUGAAGGAUGGUGGUUACUUCUGGGAGGGAAGGGAAGCAUUUGGAGAAGGUUAUUUAUUCAGCGUCUGAAGGAACAAAGCCCCCUGCCCGGGUGCCACAGAGAGAAAACAGCAUGAUUCUCGUGAACAUAAAGGGGAGGGCAGCCCAGCCUUCAUGACGCACCCCGAUAACUGCUAAUGGCCAAGAUUUGCCCUACUAGUUUGUAAUCUUAUUCUUUCCGGACAAGACACAUCAAUUUAAUGUUACAGGCUUUUUUUUUUUCUUUUUCUUUUUAUCUCUUCUUUUUGGCCCAAGGAUAUGGGGGUGGGCAGGGCUCAGUUUCCCCAGCAGUAAACUGGAAACCAUCGUCCUACUCGUCCAAGCCUUGUCGGGAGGACUCCACAAGGUCUUGAAUGAAUUUUAAAAAGUUAAAAAAUAAAGAGCCAGGGCCUGACACCUUAUAAGCAUUGAAUGAAGGGUCAUCAUUGCAUUAUUUAAUUUUAGUUUUGAAUAGGUAACAUGCUGUGGGGGAAAUUCAAAUAAUACGAAAGGCAAAGUGAUCAAAACUUCCUCCAGGGGCUUCCCUGGUGGCGCAGUGGUUAAGAAUCCGCCUGCCGAUGCAGGGGACACGGGUUCGAGCCCUGGUCCGGGAAGAUCCCACAUGCCGCGGAGCAGCUAAGCCCGUGCGCCACAACUACUGAGCCGGCGCUCUGGAGCUUGCGAGCCACAACUACUGAGCCCACAUGCCACAACUACCGAAGCCCGCGCACCUAGAGCCCGAGCUCCGCAACAAGAGAAGCCACCGCAAUGAGAAGCCCGCGCACCGCAACGAAGAGCAGCCCCCGCUCGCUGCAACUAGAGAAAGCCCGCGUGCAGCAACGAAGACCCAAUGCAGCCAAAAAUAAAUAAAUAAAUAAUUUUUUUUUUAAAAAAAAGAAUCACUAUGCUGUAUACCUGAAACUAACACAAUAUUGUAAGCCAACUAUACUUCAAAAUUAAAAAAAAAAGUUC